GAAGUACUCCCUCCGUUCCACGAUACAUACCUUCCAUUUGUCAAAAUAUAGAUAUAUCUAAACAUGUUUUAGUAUAUAUCCAUUUUUGGACAAAUGAAAGUCAAGUAUUUCGGAACGAAGGGAGUACUAG
rfam:Triticum urartu cultivar G1812 contig1095553, whole genome shotgun sequence.